rnacentral:lncRNA from 1 species
UUUACUAAACUCAAUAAUCAAUUAAACGUUAAAUUAAAUCUAACAAUAGUGCAACCAAGAUGAAAGAUUUAUUAAACUAACAAACUUCUACAAAAUAAAAACAAACUGAAUAAAUAAACAAGAAAAUGAUAACCAACGAACAAGAACAUAGUCAAACAUAUAUUGAUUUUAGAUCCGAAAAAAUCAAACAAAAGACGGAAAAAAUGAAACUUAAACCAACUAACCGGAUCAGAACAACGAUAAACUCGAACAGAAACAGAUCUGCCCGGAAAUUUUGAAACCCAAAUUAACUUGAAUCUGGCCAGAAUCUCAACAAUGAUCUCGACGAACCCACGACCAACUUGGCGAAUAUAUAUAUACAUACAUGUAUAUAUGUACAUAUAUAUAGACGAGGGUGGGGUUUGGACGCUGGGCUGCUCGUUUUGUUUCGAACCUGGGGGGUCGUUUGGUGAGCUUGACGAUGAGCUGGUCGUUCAUGGUCAUGACGAGGUGGUUUGAGAGAUGGAUGCUGGUUUUGACGAGUGACGGGGACGACAAAAAGCUGCUCGUUUUUCAGUGGGGGUGACGACGGGCACGUUUGGUUGAGAAGACGAAGACGAUGGGGAAGGUGACUGAUUUGAACUGGUUUGGUUGUGUUGACGUCGCUGGUGUUAGGGGACGAUAGGAAGGGCUGUUUGGCAUGAAGUUCAGGCGAAGGGGAAACUGGUUCGCCCGAAAUGGCUGGGCGGCGGGAGAGGCAGCAGGGGGUUCAUCUGGUGGGGGUUGUUGUUUUGGGUGGUUUAUGGUUUGGGAGGUGUGGUAUCUUGAAGAAAAAGAA